rnacentral:lncRNA from 1 species
UAUUGGGGUCGUAAAAUCAUACCUUUUCUAUGAUGUUGCCAUUGCUUCUUUAUGUCCACAAGGAGAAACCAGAUGAAUCGACUCAGAUCAUUGCUCUGAUUAUGACUCUCUGCUGACCCAGAUACUGGGAUGAAGUCAAAAUUCCUUGGCAUGGCUCUCAAGGCUUUUCACAACCUCAUCAUCCAACUUUUCAGACAUGGCUGAAAGAUAUGAGAUGAUGGCCAUGAAGACUUUCUCCAGAUUGGUGAACAGGCCUAAUCCUGAAGACAGACUUUUUGGGUAUAAAGGAUGAAGUUGUAGGGCAGGAAGUCUUAUGACACUCAGAACAGCUACUCAAUGGAAAUCACAAACAGAAUGAGUUUCAUCCACAUGUCAAGACACUACUACCAACAAAGCUAUUUCAGAGCACCUAUCCUAAAUACCUAGCUGUCUCUUCCACUUAAAGCAAGAGACAAUAUCUAAGGACAGAGAAUCUGCUUGGCCUAGCUAAGGGACAUGUCCACUUCUUGGCUGAACGAGGACUUGACGGUGCACUUUGAUUAACAGCAACCUUUGUACUAUACAAAUGGAGUUGAGGCAACUCCCUCGAAGGGUCCUGCUUUUGUCUGAAAUGGGAUGAAUGGGUGUUAUGAUUUUCUGUAAAAACCAAAGCUAUUAUAACCAUGCUUCUUAGACUUUCAUGUGCAUAUGAAUUUUCUGGGUUUCUUAUUAAAUUUCACACUCUGACUCAAUAGGCUGGGUCUGAAGCCAGAUUCUACAUUCCUGGAAAACACCCAGCUGACAGCCUUGUGGCCCACCGUUUGAGUAGCAAGCCUUUAUAAUCAUGAGCAAUGGGAAGACAAUUAGUUUUACAUUUCUUAAUCCACAUAUAUUUAUCUUUGUUUUAAUUGGGGUAUAAUUAUAUAAAUUAAUGAAUAGAUAAAAUGAGUAGAACUUAAGUCCAAAAUUUAACUUGUCUAUAUGCACCUAUGCAAGGAACACUAAACAUCCCUCCCAGGGGAUUUUCCUCCUGUCUCUUUUUUGUGUCCCCCUCUCCCCUCAGAGAGAACCACUAUUCUGAUUUCUAUUACCAUUGACUAGUUUUGCCUGUUCUUGAACUUUAUUUAAAUAGAAUAAUAUAAGGAUGUACUCUUUUGUGUCUAGCUGAUUUUGUUCAACACAAUGUUUGUGAGAUCUAUCGAUGUGCUUGCAUCUAUGAUUCAUUCCUUGGUAUUGUCAAUUAAUAUUUCAUUCUGUGACUAUGCUGCCAAGUUUACUACUUUUUUUGAUGGACAUUUGGCUCCCAUCCAAAUUUUUGCCAUUAUGAAUAAAACUGCUAUGAACAUUC